UUGGACAGAUUAUCCUGGGUCUUCCUGAACAGCUUAUGCUCGAUAUGCUGAGCAAAGGUACGAGGAGGGAACAGUGGAGGUUCGGUCUCAGAGACAGUCUCCGGGAGUGGCUUAAGGAUGAUCUUAUCCUUCGGUGGCUCACAGAAAACUGCCCAUGAGAUCCUAACCUUCUCCUUAUUAACCAGACCCCUGUGGAGAAUGCUCUUGAACUUUCCAUUGCUGAGGAUCUCGAUGGUGUCUCCAAUGUGCAUGAUGAUGGAGUUGGGAACACAUUUAGCGGUCACCCACUUGCCUUGGUAAAAGAGUUGGAGGCCAGGAACCAUGUUGUGGAGAAUGAAAGUGAGUGCACUUAUAUCGGUGUGAGCUUCGACACCGAGAGCGAGUUCUGGUUGUGGACACUUGGGGUAGUAAUUGAUUUUCAAUUGAAGAAGAAGCUCUUCCACGCCACCAACUUCCUUCUCUAGCCUUCCUUCUUCUAAUCCCAAGCAAAUUGAUAGUGCUGAAAGUAUUUUGCUCGCUAGGCCUCGCAGUUGCCUUGCAUACUCACUUGUAAC
rnacentral:lncRNA from 1 species